UUACACCAUUAAACAGCACCCUACUUUACACCAUUAAACAGCACCCUACUUUACAGCAUUAAACAGAGAGCUACUUUACACCAUUAAACAGAGGGCUACUUUGCGAACAAAGAGUUGCAGAGAAGACUAGGUGAAUGUCAGUCAAGGACUGUUGACUGUUGACAAAGUAAUUAAUGACCGGACAUGGGGCAGUGGGUAGGCAUACAACAGCUUUUAAUUGAGCGUCCGUACAUUUUUUUGGGAAUUGAACAGAUUUAUGCAACAACAUGCAUCUUCUGUUGGUACAUCAUCAUCAUUUGCUUACACCAGAUUGCACACAAAAUCAUAAACACAUACUGAAACCUAGAUUAACAGCUUUUGUCAUGAACUCAAACUUAAAAAAAAAAAAUAAUAAUAAUUAAAACCUUCACCCUUCAUCUUAGUCAAUUACACACACACAAAUACACACACACAAACAAUACAAAGUGGUUUGUUUUGUUUGUCUUAUUACAAAGGAUCCCUUGUAUUAGAACUUACAUUUUAUAAAAAAGAGAAAAAAAAGAAAAGAAAAAAAAGGUCAAAUCAGUAUAAAAGGCACAAAGGCAACGAAUAUAUGUAAGAAUACAAGGCAGUUGUACGGUUACACCCCAGUAAUGUUUGAAAGAGCACUUUUCUCACACAUGCACAAACAUACAGGACCCCUUUACACAUACUCUACUCAAGUCACACACCACCAUGAUGUCCUUUCAGUCCACUCUGUGUGUGUGUGUGUGUGUGUGUGUGUGUGUGUGUGUGUGCUCAAUAGCCUUCUCCCAUUACUCACUCUUACACCCCUGCAGUGCACCUCACUAUCAAGUGAAAUCAGCAACAGAGUGACAGCAAGCAUAGGAACUACGAUAUACGAUAUGGCUGAAAGUUUUGACAGGGCUCUUUUGGACAAAGAUUAAGCUGUCCCCCAGAUAAGAAGUACAUAGGGUAGUAUGUAAGCCAUUCUAGUAUAGUAGAGUUGCAGUAGAGAAAGCAAGUAGAUGCAAUAACUAAACUCUUUGGUAUAGUCUCAUGCAUGCCACUCAUAUGCAUUGUUGGUACUGGGUCACAAUGGGAUUCCACUUGACAACAUGAAAAACCAAGUCUAUGUCGGACUAAAUACUAUAUGACAAAGAACCUACUGCCUACAUGUUAGUAAAACUGUACUGUUUAAGCAUUUUAGUACAUAGUGGCAUUACAUAUGUUAUGCUAUGGAACACACCUGCUAAAUCCUACAACACUGAAUUCCAACAUUGCCAGUAUGAAUUUUUUUUUUUUUUACUUUACUCAAGAACAAUGAUGCUAUUCAACGUGGUGAAUUCAGACAGAGUGCAGGUAUAAAAGAUCGGAUCACUCAAACCACAUUUGGUGGCACACAGGAACACAUUUUACCCAUUUUCAUCAAAAGUGCAUACAUGUACAUAUAUAUCUCUCAUUUACUGGAUGGUUCAACUGUCACACUUGGUCUUGAGCACGAGAACAGAAAACUAUUCAACAUUCAUUUAGACACAUUUCUCUAAUUCCAGGCCUGAAUCAUUCUCGUGUACAGAUAAGAAGUACUAAAACUGAAGCAAGUGCAUGAGAGAUUUACCCCACCCAUCAUUCAGACUGUCAACUGACUCCUUCCCUUCUCUGAUGAAGGGUCUGGUGAAUUGGCCCUGUUCAGAUCUCUAUAAGGCCACUCUAGUCUCAUUUACUGUAAGUGCAAUGCAGCUAAAACCUAUUUUGAUAUUAUGAAGACAACACAUGGUAAUAGCGGGUGUGGGGGGCCUUCUUCACACACAUUCUGAGAAAUCUCCCCACAACAACAAAAACAACAAAAAUCCGAUAGAAUGGACAAGCUAAAAGCUUCCCAAGCUUUACAAUACUAAAAGCUGACGAGAGCCACGGCAGUCUGCCGUUUUCCAGUGGUCGGUUAGUAAAUUAACCAUCUGCGUAAGGAGGAAAUUGUCAAAUGAAUCUCUUCGUAGUUUUGAAGAAAUCCAGUGACAGAAGAUGAAAAAUCCAAACUCAUUAAAAAACUCAAAUCAGUUCUUUGGAUGGCUUUCACAACUGCAGAUGAAGCAAAAAGAGGAAGGACAUGAUGACACAGUAAAGAAAAGCACACUAAAAUCUGUACCCAUGAGGAAUUACAUUUUGCGGUAGUCAAUCAUCUUAAAUAACAAAUAGAUUGUUGUAGGUGUUAUUAAAACAGAACACAUAUCAUCAUUGCUAUCAUUAUAAAUACACACAACGGACACCAGAAAUGCUGAAAAAACAAGAUGGGUUUGUCAUUGUCAUUAACACCCCAUUUUCUAAGCAAUCAUUGUAUGCAACCAGCUUCUCCGAUGCCAGGCUUCAAGUGUGACGCGGGAAACAGUGUGGCCAUAGCUUAGUAAAUCACUGUGAAAUGUAGCUAUCAUGGGCCAGAUUUCAGAAUGGAUUCACUUUUUUAAACAUGUGGACCCAGGUGAAAUCCACAGUCUGUCUGUCAAGGUGCCGUUGCGUACUGGAAAACCAUUUUAAAGGAAUGUUGGGACAUCCCUAGAGCAUCCACUGAGUAUCUAUGAUUGAUUGUUCAAGAGCAGAGGAGACUCAUUGUGAAAAAGUUAAGAAAGGCUUACCUCAAACUGUUGAUUUGUCCACCAAUCUUCACCAUUCAUUCACCCGAUUUACCAUUUGGAGCGUCCGUGACUGUAAGACGCAGACAGAAAAAAACCCACAAACGAACAAAAGAAAAUCAACCAGACAUUACAGAUAUUGAAAAAGCAUUUGCAGUGAGCAUGUAAGAGAAGAAAUGUACUAGCUCUACUCCUGAAGGUACGAGGAAACAUCAAUGUCAAUGGGCUGUGUGUUUGCAUUUCAGUUUGUUUUGUGAGUACAGUCCACUUGUCAUAACAGAAAGAACUAAAACCACAAGCAUAUGAUGGGAAACUGGUAGUAAGUUUGAACAAUAGUCUAAGUAUACUCAAAGUAUGAUACUCAGUUAGUGUGAAUGGGACCCAAUGUCACUACAAAACGUAUGUUCUCAUCAACAUACCUCUGUUGCAGCCUG
ensembl:lncRNA